ACAGGCUUAACACAUGCAAGUCGAGGGGAAACGACAUUGGAAGCUUGCUUCCGAUGGGCGUCGACCGGCGCACGGGUGAGUAACGCGUAUCCAACCUGCCCACCACUUGGGAAUAACCUUGCGAAAGUAAGACUAAUGCCCAAUGACGUUGAAAGAAGACAUCUGAUUUCAACUAAAGAUUCAUCGGUGAUGGAUGGGGAUGCGUCCGAUUAGCUUGUUGGCGGGGUAACGGCCCACCAAGGCAACGAUCGGUAGGGGUUCUGAGAGGAAGGUCCCCCACAUUGGAACUGAGACACGGUCCAAACUCCUACGGGAGGCAGCAGUGAGGAAUAUUGGUCAAUGGGCGAGAGCCUGAACCAGCCA
rnacentral:rRNA from 1 species